UACGUAGGGUGCGAGCGUUGUCCGGAAUUAUUGGGCGUAAAGGGCUCGUAGGCGGUUUUGUCGCGUCGGGGAGUGAAAAUCCAGGGCUUAACUCUGGACUGGCUUCCGAUACGGGCAGACUAGAGGUAUGCAGGGGAGAACGGAAUUCCUGGUGUAGCGGUGAAAUGCGCAGAUAUCAGGAGGAACACCGGUGGCGAAGGCGGUUCUCUGGGCAUUACCUGACGCUGAGGAGCGAAAAGCGUGGGGGAGCGAAACAGG
rnacentral:rRNA from 1 species